UACGAGGACCCCGAGCGUAUCCGGAAUUACUGGGCGUAAAGCGUGCGCAGGCGGUUAUGUAAGACAGUUGUGAAAUCCCCCGGGCUCAACCUGGGAACUGCAUCUGUGACUGCAUAGCUAGAGUACGGUAGAGGGGGAUGGAAUUCCGCGUGUAGCAGUGAAAUGCGUAGAUAUGCGGAGGAACACCGAUGGCGAAGGCAAUCCCCUGGGCCUGGCACUGACGCUCAUGCACGAAGCGUGGGGAGCAACAGG
rnacentral:rRNA from 1 species